GGGUUGUGAGGUUAAGCGACUAAGCGUACACGGUGGAUGCCCUGGCAGUCAGAGGCGAUGAAGGACGUGCUAAUCUGCGAAAAGCGUCGGUAAGGUGAUAUGAACCGUUAUAACCGGCGAUGUCCGAAUGGGGAAACCCAGUGUGAUUCGUCACACUAUCGUUAACUGAAUACAUAGGUUAACGAGGCGAACCGGGGGAACUGAAACAUCUAAGUACCCCGAGGAAAAGAAAUCAACCGAGAUUCCCCCAGUAGCGGCGAGCGAACGGGGAGCAGCCCAGAGUCUGAAUCAGCUUGUGUGUUAGUGGAACGGUCUGGAAAGUCCGACGGUACAGGGUGAUAGUCCCGUACACCAAAAUGCACAGGUUGUGAACUCGAAGAGUAGGGCGGGACACGUGGUAUCCUGUCUGAAUAUGGGGGGACCAUCCUCCAAGGC
rnacentral:rRNA from 1 species